rnacentral:rRNA from 1 species
GAUGAACGCUGGCGGCGUGCUUAACACAUGCCAGUCGAACGGAAAGGCUCCUGCUUGCAGGGGUACUCGAGUGGCGAACGGGUGAGUAACACGUGGGUGAUCUGCCCUGCACUUCGGGAUAAGCCUGGGAAACUGGGUCUAAUACCGGAUAGGACGAUGGUUUGGAUGCCAUUGUGGAAAGUUUUUUCGGUGUGGGAUGAGCUCGCGGCCUAUCAGCUUGUUGGUGGGGUAAUGGCCUACCAAGGCGUCGACGGGUAGCCGGCCUGAGAGGGUGUACGGCCACAUUGGGACUGAGAUACGGCCCAGACUCCUACGGGAGGCAGCAGUGGGGAAUAUUGCACAAUGGGCGCAAGCCUGAUGCAGCGACGCCGCGUGGGGGACGACGGCCUUCGGGUUGUAAACUCCUUUCGCUAGGGACGAAGCGCAAGUGACGGUACCUGGAGAAGAAGCACCGGCUAACUACGUG